CCUACGGGAGGCAGCAGUGGGGAAUAUUGGACAAUGGGCGCAAGCCUGAUCCAGCCAUACCGCGUGGGUGAAGAAGGCCUUCGGGUUGUAAAGCCCUUUUGUUGGGAAAGAAAUCCAGCCGGCUAAUACCUGGUUGGGAUGACGGUACCCAAAGAAUAAGCACCGGCUAACUUCGUGCCAGCAGCCGCGGUAAUACGAAGGGUGCAAGCGUUACUCGGAAUUACUGGGCGUAAAGCGUGCGUAGGUGGUUAUUUAAGUCCGUUGUGAAAGCCCUGGGCUCAACCUGGGAACUGCAGUGGAUACUGGAUGACUAGAAUGUGGUAGAGGGUAGCGGAAUUCCUGGUGUAGCAGUGAAAUGCGUAGAGAUCAGGAGGAACAUCCAUGGCGAAGGCAGCUACCUGGACCAACAUUGACACUGAGGCACGAAAGCGUGGGGAGCAAACAGGAUUAGAUACCCUGGUAGUCCACGCCCUAAACGAUGCGAACNGAUGUGGUGNAUGUGCGCNGUAUGAGACGACGACGUAGUUACGUCCGCCGCGGGAGGUACGGUCGGUCGAGACGUUAGUAACGUUACGAAAGGAAGUUAGACGGCGNGAGACGNGCGACGGACGACGACGAGGGAGGAGG
rnacentral:rRNA from 1 species